rnacentral:rRNA from 1 species
GACGAACGCUGGCGGCGUGCUUAACACAUGCAUGUCGAACGGAAAGGCCCUGCUUUUGUGGGGUGCUCGAGUGGCGAACGGGUGAGUAACACGUGAGUAACCUGCCCUUGACUUUGGGAUAACUUCAGGAAACUGGGGCUAAUACCGGAUAGGAGCUCCUGCUGCAUGGUGGGGGUUGGAAAGUUUCGGCGGUUGGGGAUGGACUCGCGGCUUAUCAGCUUGUUGGUGGGGUAGUGGCUUACCAAGGCUUUGACGGGUAGCCGGCCUGAGAGGGUGACCGGCCACAUUGGGACUGAGAUACGGCCCAGACUCCUACGGGAGGCAGCAGUGGGGAAUAUUGCACAAUGGGCGGAAGCCUGAUGCAGCAACGCCGCGUGCGGGAUGACGGCCUUCGGGUUGUAAACCGCUUUCGCCUGUGACAAAGCGUGAGUGACGGUAAUGGGUAAAGAAGCACCGGCUAACUACGUG